rnacentral:lncRNA from 1 species
GGACUCGAAGCAAAGGACUCAAACCAUUGAACUGGGGGUUUUUAGUCUGGGCUCCAUGGAAUCUAUAGUUGAAUUUCAGUGGGUAGGGGCUGGUUCAUAAAUUUUUUUAAAUUGUAUGAGAAAUAUAUGUGCACAUAUAUUCAUAUUUUUCAAGG